AUUUGGGCCAGCUGGGCCGGGUCUGAGCUGCUGCCUUGGAGGCCGCGGGAGCCUUGGAGGAGCUCUGCCGCUACUGCUCCCAGCCCCAGUGUUCUGCGGCUGCCGCAGUCAGAAGUGGGACACACUGGUCCUUUUGGCAGAGGAUGUUGAGCCCAAAUCUGAUCCACGUGUGAGCCAGCUGAACUCGGGAGCUGUUCCCAGGGAAGUGACGUUCGACAGCCGCCACCACCCCCCACCCCCAGCCUUGGGCCUCCCUAUUUGACACACUCAACUGGGGGCAACAGAACAAAUUCCAAGACAAAAGUUUCGAGAGCGAUGAUUCAGAGGCUCGCAGAGGACAUUUAUGGGAGGAACGUUCUGGGAGCUCUGGCCUUAGGUGUCAUGCCCAUUUGGGGCCAGCCAACAUCUGCCCCUGGGGAGAGACUUACGGAAACACCAGGCGCGGGCCCCGGCCCGGGACACAGCCCGCAGUUCCCACUCCGGGAAGUGCCAAGCGCGCGCGGCGCCGGGACUGCUCGGCUCCCCCCGCAGCCCCUCCGUCCACGCCCGGCUCCUCCUCCCCUUCCUCCUCCUUCCCC